rnacentral:rRNA from 1 species
AACCUUUAGCCAAACAAGUAUUAAAGGCAACGCCUGCCCAGUGAACAAUUAAACGGCCGCGGUACCCUAACCGUGCAAAGGUAGCAUAAUCAUUUGUCUACUAAUUAUAGACCUGUAUGAAAGGCAAAAUGAGGGUUUAACUGUCUCUUAUAAUCAAUCAAUUAAACUGAUCUUCUAGUAAAAAAGCUAGAAUCCCACCAUAAGACCAGAAGACCCUGUGAAGCUUCAAUUAAACUAUUAAACCCCAUAAUAGCUAAUUUAGGUUGGGGCGACCUUGGAAACAAAAAGAACUUCCAAAAAAUGACUUACCUCAUACCAACACAGGCCCACAAGCCACAAAAUGACCCAGCACAGCUGAUAAACGGACCAAGCUACUCCAGGGAUAACAGCGCAAUCUUCUUCAAGAGCCCAUAUCAAAAAGAAGGUUUACGACCUCGAUGUUGGAUCAGGACAUCCUAAUGGUGCAGCCGCUAUUAAGGGUUCGUUUGUUCAACGAUUAAUAGUCCC